CCUGAACGCUGGCGGCGUGGCUAAGACACGCAAGUCGCACGGUGUAGCAAUACACAGUGGCGAACGGGUGAGUAAUGAAUCGCUAAAUGUACCCCGGACUCUGGGAUAGCUAUCCGAAAGGGUAGGUAAUACCAGAUGAUAUAUCUUUAUCGCAUGAUAGAGAUCUCAAAGGUCCGCCGGUCUGGGAGCAGGCGAUUUCGUAUCAGCUAGNGGUGAGGUAACGGCUCACCAAGGCACGACGCGUAGCCGGACUGAGAGGUUGGCCGGCACAUUGGGACUGAGACACUGCCCAGACUCC
rnacentral:rRNA from 1 species